UGCAAAGACCCUCUGAGGGUGUUGAGAG
rnacentral:piRNA from 1 species